AAUUGAGAAAAUGGACAGAGUCCUGCCAUGCCAGGCCGGUCCACCAUUGUAGUUCUCCUGCUUUCUCUCGUCCCCCACUACCCUCAGCAAACAAAAGAAUCCUGAACCCCUUCUUCGCCGAUUCCUCUAACCCAACUCAUCUCAUCUCCGCUCCCAAGGCGAGAUCUCACCACCCCAUUCCCAAAUCAACCCAAACACCGAAUUCCAAACCUGGUGAUCGAUCCAAAAACGCCAUAAAUCCCACCGAAUCCAACUCAAAUUCGCAAUCAAAUGCCCCAGAUUGGCACCCAAACCCCGCACCCAGCAAUUCAAAUCUGACCUCGCCAUUCCCGCUCCUCCCCCUCUACCCUCCGCUGCAUGCUCCAGACUCCCAUAGCAAUGGCGACCGCGCUCUCCAAAUCUGCCGUCAAAUCCCACCCUAGGUCGCCUACCACAGCGCAGCCGCCGCCGAACCCCGGCUCAAACGCCGCGUCGGCUGGCGUAGGGGCGGCUCCUCCGCCUCCGCCGCCGUUGUCGGCCGCCGCCGGUGCCACGCCGUCGAAGAACGCCGCGAUGGUGGAGCUCAAGUCGCGCGUGCUCGCCGCGCUGGCCAAGCUCUCGGACCGCGACACGCACCACAUCGCCGUCGAGGAGCUGGAACGCAUCAUCCGCGCGCCGCCGUUGACCGACGCCGUGCCCAUGCUGCUCAACGCACUGGCAUCUGACUCCCCGGGGUUCGCCUCCCCGGCCAGGCGCGAGUCUCUGCGCCUCCUCGCCACGCUCUGCGCGUCGCACCCGGACGCUGCCGCGCCGCACCUCCACAAGGUGCUUGCCCACCUAGCGCGGCGGCUCAAGGACCCGGCGUCCGACACCUCCGUUCGCGACGCGUGCCGAGACGUCGCGGGCCAGCUCGCGGCAGUGUACCUCCGCCCUCUGUCUGCUUCCGGCGUUGCCGAGGCGGGCAAUGCCACCGUGAUGCUGUUCGUGAAGCCGCUGUUCGAGGUGAUGGGGGAGCAGAGUAAAGCGGUGCAGGGUGGAGCGGCCGCAUGCUUGGCCAAGGCAGUGGAAGGGGCCGGGCCUGGGCCCGGUGCCAUCGGGAUGUUUGGGAAGCUCGGUCCUAGGAUCUGCAAGUUGCUCGGUGGGCACGGCGUGCAAGCCAAGGCGGCAUUGCUCGGCGUCAUGGGAAGUUUGGCGCAGGUGGGAGCAAUCAGUUCCCAUAAUAUGCCGCAGACACUCCAAAGUAUCCGUGACUGCCUUGAGAAUAGCGAUUGGGCUACUAGAAAAGCAGCUGCUGAUACAUUAUGUGUCUUUGCUACACAUUCUGGUCACUUGAUAGGUGACGGAAUAGCUCCAACCAUUUCUGCUCUUGAAGCUUGCCGUUUUGAUAAGGUAAGGCCUGUCAGAGAUAGCAUGAUUGAUGCAGUACAGUUGUGGAAAAAACUGACUGGAGAAGAUGCAACUGACGGUAGAAAUAAGGAUCUAGGUGAUGGUGAAGGGAAACUGGACUCAAGACGGUCAAUGCAAAGUGGUGGAAAAUCAGAAUGCUUUGAUGAUUGCUCUCCAGAUUCACCUAGUAACAUGAAGGGAAGUAGCAUAGCUGAAAAGGCAGCAGUUCUUUUGAAGAAAAGACCAACAUUAACUGACAGGGAACUGAACCCUGAGUUCUUCCAAAAGCUUGAGACAAGGAAAACAGAUGACUUGGCAGUUGAGGUUGUAGUCCCCCGCAAGACUCUACAAUCUCACUUACGAAGUGAAGAUGACACAGAAGAAGAUGAUGAUCCUGUUGGUCCAGUUGACAGCAAUGGAUCAGCUGAAGAUGAAGCAAAUCUAACCCAAAUGCGUGCUAGCUCUAAUUUUCAAAAUAUUCGGGAUAGAUGGGCUAGCCAAAGGGGAAAUAGCAACAAAGAUGCAAAAUCUAGGACAGCUGAUGUUGAAGAUAGGGGUGAACCCAGUACAAAAGAUUCCACAGCUGCAACCAUGAACAUUCCUGGAGAAGGCCCUUCCGUAAAUAAUAAAACAAAUUGGUUAGCAAUACAGAGGCAAUUGUCACACUUGGAGAGACAGCAAACUAGUCUCAUGAACAUGUUGCAGGAUUUCAUGGGAGGAUCUCAUGACAGCAUGGUAACUUUGGAGAACAGAGUACAUGGUCUUGAGAGAGUUGUUGAGGAAAUGGCUAGGGAAAUAUCACUCUCGUCAGGCAGGAGAGGUGGUGGUCCAGCGCUACGCUUUGAUUCGUCUCCUGGCAGAUCAUCUAACAAUGGUUUCCAUGAAUAUUCUAAUUCAAAAUUUGGAAGGAGUGGUGAUGGACGGAUGGGAUUUGCAGAAAGGUUUUUCUCUACAGAUGGUAUGGCUUCUGGUAUGAAAAACCCAUCUUGGAGACCAGAUUCUGAAUCAUGGGACUCAUAUGCUUAUUCUGGUUCGAGAAGCGGUAUGAAUGUGAGGAGAGGAUUAGAUUCUGUUUCAUCAGACAAUAGGAUGGCAAGAAAUGAACGGAGUAAUGAUCAAGCGGGUCCUCGGAGAGGUUGGGACAAAGGGCAGGGACCCUUUAGGUUCGGUGAGGGUCCUUCUGCCCGAAGUGCAUGGCGAGCAUCAAAAGAUGAAGCAACACUGGAGGCUAUUAGAGUGGCUGGUGAAGAUAAUGGAAAUUCGAGGGCCGCUGCAAGAGUUGCUAUUCCUGAACUGGAUGGAGAAGCUUUGAAUGAUGGCAACCAAGGGGACGAAAGAGGCCCACUUUGGGAGGCCUGGACUCGUGCGAUGGAUGCUGUUCAUCUUGAUGAUAUGGACUCUGCUUAUGCUGAGGUUCUUUCAACUGGUGAUGCUGAAUUACUUGUAAAGUUGAUGGAACAAACGGGACCGAUUAUUGAUCAACUUUCAAAUGAGGUUGCAAAUGAAGUCCUACAUGCAGUGGGACAGUUUCUCGUGGAAGAAAGCUUCUAUGAUGUAGCAUUAAACUGGCUUCAGCAGAAUCCUGGCUUUUCAUUUGGUCUAGAAUGAUGGUCCAUCAGUUUUACUGGAUUGCUCAAGGUUGAAGGGGGAAACUGUAGUGAAGUAUGUGAUAAAUAUUGAUACUUUCUUUGUCGAACACAUGGGUUCUUAUUUGGUGAAACUUGUUUUUACGUUCUCCUUUGUUUGCCCAAUGAUAAUUAUGGUUUCCACCUGGAGCUGGACAGCAGUUGACUGACCUGGUAAUGGAAAACGGCUCUGGUUAUCUCGGAAUACCUCUGGAUGCAAAGCGGGACCUCUUACUGGGACUUCAUGAGGCUACCGUGAUUGAGCUUUCUGAUGAUUGGGAGGGAGCAACACCCGUACAGAUAAUGAAGCAGCUAGCUUCAUCCUGGCGCAUCGACCUGCAGCAACUUAUCAAUUAGGGUUACAUUGAUUGUCGAUAUAUGGGUUAAUUUGAAUAUUUGAAUUGUUCGUUUCCCUCUGGUUCUUGUCUGGUCUUUAGCUAUUAGUAUUAGGAAUAUUAUAUUGGGUGGGGUGGAAGUGGCACUGUGUUGAAAUGGAUUGGUUGUAUUGGAAAAUAUGGUAUUGAUGUUGUCUCACCUUCAUUGAGGCUAGGGAGCAACGAAGAAAAAUUCUAGGUUGGGUUUUAGA